rnacentral:rRNA from 1 species
CCUACGGGAGGCAGCAGUGGGGAAUAUUGGACAAUGGGGGGAACCCUGAUCCAGCAAUGCCGCGUGUGUGAAGAAGGCCUGAGGGUUGUAAAGCACUUUCAGUGGGGAGGAGGAUUACUAGGUUAAGAGCCAGGUAAUUGGACGUUACCCACAGAAGAAGCACCGGCUAACUCCGUGCCAGCAGCCGCGGUAAU